AGUGAAAAGUUGCGAUCGGGGCGGCGUUGUCCGCUUAUCAGAGAACCCGCCGCAGAUUGCUAAUUGAAAUGCAGGGGCUGUCGACGCAAUUCGCAGCAGAUCUCCGGUUGGAUCUCGAAUGGGAUCGUGAGAGCCCUGGUAACCCAAAUCGCGUGCUGCCUUUGAUUUGUAUGUGCACUCGUCAGAAAUUAUGUGGCAACUGGCGGCAAAACUGUGAGGCAGCGGUGCAAAUUGAACAGUAACAGAUGCAACCGCCAGUUACAUAUUUUGUGUCUGUGCACAUGGAUAUUUUUCGGAAAACUAUUUAAAUAAAGCACAAGUAUGCUGCAUGUCGGUAUGCUGGGC
ensembl:ncRNA lncRNA:CR46052 long non-coding RNA:CR46052